rnacentral:rRNA from 1 species
UACGUAGGGCGCAAGCGUUGUCCGGAAUUAUUGGGCGUAAAGAGCUCGUAGGCGGCUUGUCACGUCGGGUGUGAAAGCCCGGGGCUUAACCCCGGGUCUGCAUUCGAUACGGGCAGGCUAGAGUGUGGCAGGGGAGACUGGAAUUCCUGGUGUAGCGGUGAAAUGCGCAGAUAUCAGGAGGAACACCGGUGGCGAAGGCGGGUCUCUGGGCCAAUACUGACGCUGAGGAGCGAAAGCUAGGGGAGCAAACAGG